rnacentral:lncRNA from 1 species
AAUUUCUCAACCUUCACCAUAGAGACAAGGUAAUCAACAAGUGUUGCAUAUCAUACAACAAGAAAUUUCAAAACAGUAUCAUACUCUCAAUCAUGUGCAUAAGAAAGAAGCAAUGAAUACAUUCCAUGAAACCUUGAUCCUUCUUUCACGCUUUUUGUCAAACAGUUUCCAUAGAUGGUUGAAGGCAUUUCCUUAUAAGAUAUUCACUUCUCUUCUAUUCUCCAAUUGCUCCUUAUAAGAUAAACAACUUUCAAUGCCUUUGUUCAUCUUACAACGGUCUUUGAAGUAAUUUUUCUUUUUUUAUCACAGGCAUUAAAGAAGUUAUAAACAAACAAUACGUGAUUAAUGGUAAAUUUGAAAUUUCAAAUCAACCAAGUUUGGCUUGCAUAUAAGUUCUGAUGCAC